CUAUAGCUCCGUUGGUUAGAGCAGAGGACUCAUAAUCCUUUGGUCCACGCUUCCAGUCCGUGUGGCCCCACCA
rnacentral:tRNA from 1 species